CGGAGAGUUUGAUCCUGGCUCAGAUUGAACGCUGGCGGCAUGCCUUACACAUGCAAGUCGAACGGCAGCACGGAGCUUGCUCUGGUGGCGAGUGGCGAACGGGUGAGUAAUAUAUCGGAACGUACCCUGGAGUGGGGGAUAACGUAGCGAAAGUUACGCUAAUACCGCAUACGAUCUAAGGAUGAAAGUGGGGGAUCGCAAGACCUCAUGCUCGUGGAGCGGCCGAUAUCUGAUUAGCUAGUUGGUAGGGUAAAGGCCUACCAAGGCAUCGAUCAGUAGCUGGUCUGAGAGGACGACCAGCCACACUGGAACUGAGACACGGUCCAGACUCCUACGGGAGGCAGCAGUGGGGAAUUUUGGACAAUGGGCGCAAGCCUGAUCCAGCAAUGCCGCGUGAGUGAAGAAGGCCUUCGGGUUGUAAAGCUCUUUUGUCAGGGAAGAAACGGUGGGAGCUAAUAUCUCCUGCUAAUGACGGUACCUGAAGGAUAAGCACCGGCUAACUACGUGCCAGCAGCCGCGGUAAUACGUAGGGUGCAAGCGUUAAUCGGAAUUACUGGGCGUAAAGCGUGCGCAGGCGGUUUUGUAAGUCUGAUGUGAAAUCCCCGGGCUCAACCUGGGAAUUGCAUUGGAGACUGCAAGGCU
rnacentral:rRNA from 1 species